rnacentral:rRNA from 1 species
ACUCCUACGGGAGGCAGCAGUGAGGAAUAUUGGACAAUGGGCGCAAGCCUGAUCCAGCCAUGCCGCGUGCAGGAGACUGCCUAUGGGUUGUAAACUGCUUUUAUACGGGAAGAAACACUCCCUCGUGAGGGAGCUUGACGGUACCGUAAGAAUAAGGAUCGGCUAACUCCGUGCCAGCAGCCGUGGUAAUACGGAGGAUCCAAGCGUUAUCCGGAAUCAUUGGGUUUAAAAGGGUCCGUAGGUGG